CUUGGUCAUUUAGAGGAAGUAAAAGUCGUAACAAGGUUUCCGUAGGUGAACCUGCGGAAGGAUCAUUCAUAAUCGAGUGUUUUAUGGCACUCUUUAAAAAAUCCAUAUCCACCUUGUGUGCAACGUUUUUGAACUCUCUCUGGCGUUAAAAAACCAAGAGGGUUUGAUUAACUUAACUUAACACCUUUAAAGCAGUUUGUCUGAAUAUCUAUUUCUGAAUAAACAUAAUUCAAAAAUACAACUUUCAACAACGGAUCUCUUGGCUCUCGCAUCGAUGAAGAACGCAGCGAAAUGCGAUACGUAAUGUGAAUUGCAGAAUUCAGUGAAUCAUCGAAUCUUUGAACGCACAUUGCGCUCUCUGGUAUUCCGGAGAGCAUGCUUGUUUGAGUAUCAGUAAACACCUCAAUUUCAUGAUUCUUAAUUUUGAAAUUGGACUUGAGCAGAUCCCAACGUACAUUUAACUGUGUGGAGGGUUGCUUCAAAUGCAGGUGCAGCCGAUCAUUCUUCUGGGCUAAAAGCAUUAUCUAGUUAAUCCCGUAAAACGGAUUAUUCACUUUAUUGCUGCAGCUUACCCUAUAUAAAAGGAAGACAUGGCCAUUGUGCUGACUGAUGCAGGAAUUCUCAGAGGUCUGUAAAGACUUUUGAAAACUCGAUCUCAAAUCAAGUAAGACUACCCGCUGAACUUAAGCAUAUCAAUAAGCGGAGGA
rnacentral:rRNA from 1 species